GUGCGAACCUACAAAUGAGGCAGAUGCUUUACAUCGCAUAUUCAUAACAUCUCAGGUGGAGAUUCUCAACUCCUUGCAAGAUGAAAGGAUUAAAGAUGUUCAGUACACGGGAGAAUACCUCAUGGAAGAAGGGGACAAAAUCUGGGUUGGUGUAUCUCGUGCAAAUGGCUCGAAAUGUGACAGAUGCUGGAAUUAUUCACCUCAAGUAGGUUCUUUUACUGAGCAUCCUUUGCUAUGUGGCCGCUGCCACAACGUGGUUAUCAGUCUACAAACUCGUGAUCUUGAUGAUUUAUCCAAGGUCACACAGAGUGAAGCAAAGGAGGCUAUAGCACAAUGAGAGAGAAAAAACACAGAGAUAUAUAUAUAUUUUUUUAUAAGUUAGAAUAGUAUUAUUUUUGUACAUGCAUUGAUGAAUAGAAAGAUAGUGAUUUAACUGGUAUUGUGAUGUUUUUUCGUAAUCGAUUUGAUUCAGA
rnacentral:misc_RNA from 1 species